rnacentral:lncRNA from 1 species
UUCUUGCAUCACCAAUGAUUAUGAUAGGGUUUUUCAUAUUGUUUUGAUGAGAUUAAGAUGUUUGUUAGGAUUAUGAGGAUCUCACAAUAAUAAAGUUGGUGCUAAUGUAACACUAGAUAAAUGAUUAGGUUGGUUUCCUUUAAUACAUACGGUCUCAUUUUCAUUGUCUUGUAAUUAUUCUUUUUUCUUUUUUUCUUUUUCAUUUUCUUGUAAUUAUUCUUUUUUCUUUUUUUCUUUUUCUUUUUCUAUUUAUAAUUAGUAUUUUAGCAUAUUUUUUAAUCUAUAUAACUUAUGUUAAUCGUUUAAUUAUCAGAAUAUAAAAGAUGACAUUUUAUGUUCUUUAGGUUAUAAGUAUAUAUUUAAUUAAUUUUGAUGUUCAAUAAAUAUCUUUCUAAACUAAUUAAUGUCAAGGUUUGUUACUCAAUAAAUGUUUGAUUGAUUUAUAUAAUUGAGGAUUUACUUAAUAUAAUCAUUUAGCUUACAAUAUUUAAUAGAAAUCUCUAGUUCAUAAUCACUCUAUGAUUGUAUAAACAAAAUACAAAGGGUAAAAAAAUACGUACUGCUGAAAAAUUGUCAUAUUUUCCUUUUUUUUCUAUCUUUUAUGAGUAAUUUUCUUUCUUAUCUAUCAAAUGUACGGAACAAUUGAUUUCUGAUAUAGGUUAAUCUUUUGAAGGUUACACAUCUCUAACUUGUUUAUUUUGUCACUCUAUUCAUCUGUGUUUCCUCUUAUUUUCAAUUUUAUUCUUGCAUCACCAAUGAUUAUGAUAGGGUUUUUCGUAUUGUUUUGAUGAGAUUGAGAUGUUUGUUAGGAUUAUGAGGAUCUCACAAUAAUAAAGUUGGUGCUAAUGUAACACUAGAAAAAUGAUUGGGUUGGUUUCCUUUAAUACAUACGGUCUCAUUUUCAUUGUCUUGUAAUUAUUCUAUUUUCUUUUUUUCUUUUUCAUUUUCUUGUAAUUAUUCUUUUUUCUUUUUUUCUUUUUCAUUUUCUACUUAUAAUUAGUAUUUUAGCAUAUUUUUUAAUCUAUAUAACUUAUGUUAAUCGUUUAAUUAUCAGAAUAUAGAAGAUGACAUUUUAUGUUCUUUAGGAUAUAAGUAUAUAUUUAAUUAAUUUUGAUGUUCAAUACAUAUCUUUCUAAACUAAUUAAUGUCAAGGUUUGUUACUCAUUACAUGUUUGAUUGAUUUAUAU